GUCGAGCGGCAGCGGGAAGUAGCUUGCUACUUUGCCGGCGAGCGGCGGACGGGUGAGUAAUGUCUGGGAAACUGCCUGAUGGAGGGGGAUAACUACUGGAAACGGUAGCUAAUACCGCAUGACCUCGUAAGAGCAAAGUGGGGGACCUUCGGGCCUCACGCCAUCGGAUGUGCCCAGAUGGGAUUAGCUAGUAGGUGAGGUAAUGGCUCACCUAGGCGACGAUCCCUAGCUGGUCUGAGAGGAUGACCAGCCACA
rnacentral:rRNA from 1 species